rnacentral:misc_RNA from 1 species
UUGAAUGAACUUGGUGUGGUUGUCGCUGGCCCCUUGGGGCAUGUGCACAUCCCACCAUCCUCAUCUCUCCACCUGUGCACCUCUUGUAGACUUGGUCUACGUUUUUUCAUAUACCCCAUAGCAUGUAACAGAAUGUAUCAUAUUGGGCGCUUGUGCCUUAUAAACCUUAUA